rnacentral:snRNA from 1 species
AUACUUACCUGGACGGAACCUAUCGCUGAUCCGGAAGGGCGAUGACUUAGAGCCUGGUCCUCCAUUGCACCAAGGUAGGACCAGUUCUAGCAUUCCUCUAUGGGGAAAUGCACGUCAUAAUUUAUGAGAGAGGAGGGCUCGCGUUCGCGCGGCCCUUCA